rnacentral:rRNA from 1 species
AUUCCUACGGGAUGCAGCAGUGAGGAAUAUUGCGCAAUGGGGGAAACCCUGACGCAGCGACGCCGCGUGAGUGAAGAAGGAUUUCGGUUCGUAAAGCUCUGUCAAGUGGGAAGAAAUGUCAUAUAGCUAAUACCUAUAUGAUUUGACGGUACCACUAAAGGAAGCACCGGCUAACUCCGUGCCAGCAGCCGCGGUAAUACGGAGGGUGCAAGCGUUGUUCGGAAUUACUGGGCGUAAAGGGCGCGUAGGCGGCCUAUUAAGUCAGAUGUGAAAGCCCACGGCUCAACCGUGGAGGGUCAUCUGAAACUGGUAGGCCUGAGUAUCGGAGAGGAUAGUGGAAUUCCCGGUGUAGAGGUGAAAUUCGUAGAUAUCGGGAGGAACACCAGUAGCGAAGGCGACUGUCUGGCCGAAUACUGACGCUGAGGCGCGAAAGCGUGGGGAGCAAACAGGAUUAGAUACCCUGGUAGUCCACAGCUGUAAACGAUGUGCACUAGGUGUAGGAGGUGUUGACCCCUUCUGUGCCGCAGCUAACGCAUUAAGUGCACCGCCUGGGGAGUACGGUCGCAAGAUUAAAACUCAAAUGAAUUGACGGA